rnacentral:rRNA from 1 species
AGUAACGCGUAUGCAACUUACCUAGUCAGAGGGGGAUAACCCGGCGAAAGUCGGACUAAUACCGCAUGAAGCAGGGGUCCCGCAUGGGGAUAUUUGCUAAAGAUUCAUCGCUGAUAGAUAGGCAUGCGUUCCAUUAGGCAGUUGGCGGGGUAACGGCCCACCAAACCGACGAUGGAUAGGGGUUCUGAGAGGAAGGUCCCCCACAUUGGUACUGAGACACGGACCAAACUCCUACGGGAGGCAGCAGUGAGGAAUAUUGGUCAAUGGGCGUAAGCCUGAACCAGCCAAGUCGCGUGAGGGAUGAAGGUUCUAUGGAUCGUAAACCUCUUUUAUAAGGGAAUAAAGUUGCGGGACGUGUCCUGUUUUGUAUGUACCUUAUGAAUAAGGAUCGGCUAACUCCGUG